AUCCUACGGGGGGCAGCAGUGAGGAAUAUUGGUCAAUGGGCGGGAGCCUGAACCAGCCAAGUCGCGUGAGGGAAGACGGUCCUAUGGAUUGUAAACCUCUUUUGUCGGGGAGCAAAGAGAUCACGUGUGGUCAAAAGCGAGAGUGCCCGAAGAAAAAGCAUCGGCUAACUCCGUGCCAGCAGCCGCGGUAAUACGGAGGAUGCGAGCGUAAUCCGGAUUUAUUGGGUUUAAAGGGUGCGUAGGCGGGACGGGAAGCCACCGGUAAAAAUGCGGAGCUCAACUCCUUCGAGCCGU
rnacentral:rRNA from 1 species